rnacentral:rRNA from 1 species
UACGAAGGGGGCUAGCGUUGUUCGGAAUUACUGGGCGUAAAGCGCGCGCAGGCGGUCCUUCAAGUCAGGGGUGAAAGCCCAGGGCUCAACCCUGGAAUGGCCUUUGAGACUAGAGGACUUGGGUACGGGAGAGGUGAGUGGAAUUCCGAGUGUAGAGGUGAAAUUCGUAGAUAUUCGGAAGAACACCAGUGGCGAAGGCGGCUCACUGGCCCGUUACCGACGCUCAGGCGCGACAGCGUGGGGAUCAAACAGG